rnacentral:lncRNA from 1 species
GACUACAUCAUCGACGACCCUUCUUCCCUUUCAGCAGAGCUUCCUGGCAAGCCCCCCCUUUGAUCAUCCCGAAAUCGCCCAUUCUAUUCUCUCAUGCUUGCAUUAGAUUUUGCUACUGUUAUUGUUUGCUCCUAUUCUAAUGCAUAGCAUGCUUUUGUAACCUGCUCAUUGUACCUUACCUGCUUAUCCUAAACUACUUAGUAUAGGUUGGUUAGUGAUCCAUCAGUGACCUCCACCUUGUCCUUGUUGCCCCUGCUUCAUCAUCGAUGACUCGAUCAAUGUGAUCGACGACCAGAGCCCGACACCUCACAUCACAUCAUGCCCCUUUUGUUGCUCGACUCUGCAGAGCUACUAUCGAGUGCCGAGGGUGAUCCCUCAUAACGCACUCCUGAUGAUAAUUUUGUAGUGUAGCUAUUCGAUCGUGGUCAUCGAGGGUGAUAUCCUCUUUCACCAUUCCCGAUACGGCUGUGUCGUGCAACACCUCAAGUGUGAACCUCGAGGGUGGUCCCUCUUACAUUCACCUUGAUGAUUACAUUGAGUGGAAUCCACCGGGGGUGAUUCCUCGGGUUUUCCCUUGAUGUCUGGACACACAGUUACCUUGACUUUACUUGAGACCGUUGUGAAAGCCGGGCGGGCCCGGAGAGUACCCGUGCGAUGUGACGGUGGCGGCUGGCUGUUUAGCGGUAUCACCCAGGAGGGGUGAUAGCUCCGGACUUGUCCCGACAACCGUCACUACUUUAAUUGUUAAUGCACUAACAUGUUUGGGUGUUUGUUCUGAAUUGGCCUUUGGCCUUUACGCACUAACCACCACGCGAGAAUAGAUAUGGGCCUCGACGUCGCAGUAUCAGCCGAAGCUUUGUCAGACGUCCAGUUCAGCAUUGCGGCACGGCUGGGCCGGCACCAUCCUGUAAUGGCGGAGCCUGGUCCGCCCUGCUCGCAACGACCCGGAGUGCAACGGGCGAUGGGCCCAGACCCCGGAGUGCUUAGGAUGUAGACCGGCAGGGACCUCUCUGCUGAGCCUAGGUAGGGCUACGACGUGUUGAUCUUCCGAGGCCGAGCAUUGACCCCAGAAAGGUGCGUCCGGCCAGAGUGAUCGAGCGUGUUGGAAAACGUGGUGCACCCCUGCAGGGAAGACAUAUAUUCGAAUACCGUGUCCACGGUAAUGGACGUUCAGACUUGUAUCCUGAUCUUAUACAACUAGAAAUGGAUACUUGAUAUGUGAUGGAUAUGUUGGCUCCGGGAUUGCUUUCUCGCAGGGAGUCGAGGAAGGAUCUCUGGGCAUUAAUGCUACAACAUGCUUGUUAAAUAUAAACUGCUAUUCUUUACUCUUCUAUAUGCUGCAAGAUGCUUGGAGCUGCUUGAAGAUGCUAGUCUUCGAUAGGCUAGGCCUUCCCCCCUAUUCUGGCAUUCUGCAGUUUAGUCCACAGAUACAACCCUUUCAUUUGAUACCAAUGCAUACUUAGUAUAGAUCUAAUGCUUGUGAGUAUUUUGGAUGAGUACUCACGGUUGCUUUGCUCCCCCUUUUCCCCCUUCCUUCUUCUUUCUGGUUGUUGCAACCAGAUGGUGGAUCCCUGGAGCCAGAUGCCACCGCCGACGGAUACUACUACGUGGAGGCCGCCAAAGACCAGGAGUAGUUAGGAGGUCCCAAGCAGGAGGCCUUGCCUCUUCGAUCGUUGUUGCUUUUGUGUUUGCCUUCUUAAGGCAGUCUUGUCUAACUUUAUGUCUGUACUCAGAUAUUGUUGCUUCCGCUGACUCUUGUGUAUCGAGCUUCUAUUCGAGCCCUCGAGGCCCCUGGCUUCUAAUA